AGACAUCUUGUUGAUUUUAUUUUCCCCAUUUAGACUGCAGCCUGCAGGGACGGCGGCUGGAUUUGUAGCGAUCUGGAGAAAAUUUGACAGCAGAUGUCACUGUCGCUCACACAGUCAUCAGCCCCGCCAUCUCAGAGCACCUACAUCUUUAGCAGAAGGCAAUUUUUUUGAAGAUGGUUAAAAAAAAAAAAUCUUCUACAUUCUUGCACCCGUUCUUACACUGUGUCUGAUCUCACUUAGCUCUGCACUGGCUUCAGGAUGUCACGUUCAUAAACCACAGGGAGAAUGAGGAUCAAGGUGGCCCCAAACUGCCUAAGUGACCCUCGUCUAUGCCUAAAGUUGGGCUCUGCUCACGUUAUCCUUGGGUACGGUCCAGUGUUGCUAUAAAUAGUCCCCUGAGCGGUCCUUCUCUCAGAGCUUCUGAGCCACUGAGAGCUAGAGUGUCAUCCAGGGAAGUUGAUAGACAAGGAGGCACGGGAAUGCAGACUCUAAGCAAGUGAAAUGACGUGCGGAAUCCCAACAGGCCCUGAAGGAGCAGCUCUGCCAUGAUGCUCAGGCACUGACAUUUGAAAGCCUUGACGUUGACAAAUUACGCAUCCCAUUUCCUUUUCCAUCUCCCGCCUGUGAAGCAACAAUCAGCUUUGUCGUCCGCUCCUCAGGAAGCCAGCCAGACUGUGCCAGGAUUGAAACUGAGAACCUGGAAACAGAGCCGUGCUGCACCUUUCUGACUUGCAGGCUGUUUCCUGUGUGAAGAGAGGCCCUGUGGGCUUGAGGAGGCGGGGCUAGAGGAAGGUACCCAACUGCUGCCGCUGGCUUUUAAGGAUGGAGGACGAGUCCUGUCUAUGGCCUUGCACAUAUGGUGUCAUCUAAUCUCUACGGGUCCGCUAAAUAGCGUAGCCUCAAGCCCUCCGCUCCCCAUCUUUCUGGCCCACGUCUUCCCUGCCCGUCUCUGGGGAGAGCACCGUCCAGGUUCACAGUGGCGCACCGUGUCAACGCUCUGGCUCUCAGUUUUGAAGGAGAAUGGCAGCUGUUGUGAUGGCUCCAACCAGAUACGGUUUGCUCGGCACCCCCGCUUACACACCCACUUUGGGUUCAGUUUCACAGUCGGGCAUCGAGAGGGCAGAGUCUUGUCCUCGUCCAUGGAGGCUGAUGGAUACAGGCCUCACAGCUGCAAACGACUAUUAUGACUCCCCUCACUAGGAGCCUGCGCAUCAUCGUCCAGCACUGGCAGGGCUAGCCAUUAGGGAAGGAGCUUCCUCCAGAAACGGAGAGGGAAGACCUAUUCUGCGUCUCACACACUAGCCCUUUCUACUCAGGAAACAAGAGGGAAGAGGAUUAGCCAUGACGGAGCUGGGCCUUGAGCCACACAGUUGGUGCCUGUGCUCUUGUUUCAUCUGUGAUGUAACCAGGAAGAAAGUGAGAAUCACCUUAAUUGUCUAAACAAUGUGACCUGAAAAAGGUACUUCACUCCAGGGACAGCUCAAGAAGCCUUGUUGGAGGAGGGACUUUAAAGCUCUAUUAGUCAGUGUUCUUUAAAGCAUGGUCACAGGCCAGUAUCACCAUCACUGGACCCUGUGAGACAUACAUGUUCUCAGGCCCCACCACCCAUCACUCCUGUGUGAGGAGAACCUCUGGAUGAAGCAUCUAAAAGGUGGAUGGGUGUGGGUGCCCUACAAUCCCCAGAUUAAUCUUCAACACACCCUCCUGACCUUGAGUUUUCUAGGGAUGUUGAGCCAUCUCUCUCGCCCCCUAGAGAUAACUCUGAAUCUCUCUGACCCUUCUGACUUAUUCUAUACCUAAUCAGUAGGUUAGCAUACAAGAAUGGAGGAAACAGAAGACUGGAUUUUUAAAAAAAAAAAAAAAAAGUGUCUCUGUUUUCAAAACAGUACAUUUGAAGUCAGGAGAACCCCCAUCCAAACACAUCCUGAGCACAGGACUGCUGGAUCCAUGGGAAGGACUGUAGAAUGGGCGUCAGUGACUUCUAAGGGCACUCGCUUCUACCUCAUUGUCUCUGAAUUCAUGCUUCCUGGAGGACUUCAGAGAGAUGUUUCCACAUCAUACGGAGCAGAGCAACAGAGGCGAGUGGGUUCUCCAGGGCCCUAGUAUAACCCUUCUUGCUUUCCCUUACACCGUGGCUGAACUAUUCUAGUCUCUCCCUUGGGGGAGGGGAGCUUCCAACUCCUCCCCAAGAGGCGGAAAUGGCUCCCUGGUGGGCCCAGCUACCAGUGACUGGCAAGUAAACUGAAAAAGGCCACACCAGAGUUGUAGGUAAAAGAAGCCACUUGACAGAUAAGACUGGAGGUUCCUGCCUAGCUGGGCUUCAUAAAACAAAUGAAGCAUGUACAAGAAAAGCUCAUAAAAUACAAAUGUGUGACAGAUGGGUACUGCCCAGGUGGCCUGUAAGGGCUCACGGCCUAGCACAUGCUUUGCUCUAUCUUGACAAGCCCACUCUCAUUAUGUGAAUCAUUUUCCCUUUCUUAAUGAACUGUCUCUUUCUGUUUCUAAAUAAGAAUCCAUGGUCCAGGGCUGGAGAGAUGGCUCAGAGGUUAAGAGCACUGACUUAUCUUCCUGAGGUCCUGAAUUCAAUUCCCAGCAGCCACAUGGUGGCUCACACCAUCUGUAAUGAGAUCCAAUGCCCUCUGAAGACAGCUACAGGGUAGUCAUAUAAAUAAGAUAAAUAAAAUUUAAAAAAAACAAACAAAAAAA